rnacentral:rRNA from 1 species
GAUGAACGCUGGCGGCGUGGAUAAGGCAUGCAAGUCAAGGGGGCCCGCAAGGGCAACCGGCAGACGAGGUAGUAAUAAGUAGGUACAAACCCAAAAGUCUUGAAUAGCCCAUCGAAAGGUGGGGUAAUACAAGAUGGUCUCUACGGAGUAAAGAUUUAUCGCUUUUGGAUUGGCCUGCUCGGUAUCAGCUAGUUGGUGAGGUAAAAGCUCACCAAGGCAAUGACGCCUAGGGACCUGAGAGGGUGACCCCCACCGAUGGGACUGAGACACGGCCCAUACACCUACGGGUGGCUGCAGUCGAGAAUCUUCCGCAAUGGACGAAAGUCUGACGGAGCGACGCCGCGUGAUGGAUGAAGUACUUCGGUAUGUAAACAUCUUUUAUGAGGGAAAAGUUUAUGAUGGUACCUCAUGAAUAAGGACCUGCUAAACUCGUGCCAGCAGCCGCGGUAAU